GAGCGGGCGUAGCAAUACGUCAGCGGCAGACGGGUGAGUAACGCGUGGGAACGUACCUUUUGGUUCGGAACAACACAGGGAAACUUGUGCUAAUACCGGAUAAGCCCUUACGGGGAAAGAUUUAUCGCCGAAAGAUCGGCCCGCGUCUGAUUAGCUAGUUGGUGAGGUAACGGCUCACCAAGGCGACGAUCAGUAGCUGGUCUGAGAGGAUGAUCAGCCACAUUGGGACUGAGACACGGCCCAAACUCCUACGGGAGGCAGCAGUGGGGAAUAUUGGACAAUGGGCGCAAGCCUGAUCCAGCCAUGCCGCGUGAGUGAUGAAGGCCCUAGGGUUGUAAAGCUCUUUUGUGCGGGAAGAUAAUGACGUACCG
rnacentral:rRNA from 1 species